GUCCACGCCCUAAACGAUGUCUACUAGUUGUCGGGUUUUAAUUAACUUGGUAACGCAGCUAACGCGUGAAGUAGACCGCCUGGGGAGUACGGUCGCAAGAUUAAAACUCAAAGGAAUUGACGGGGACCCGCACAAGCGGUGGAUGAUGUGGAUUAAUUCGAUGCAACGCGAAAAACCUUACCUACCCUUGACAUGGACGGAAGCUUCGAGAGAUCGGGGCGUGCUCGAAAGAGAGCCGUCACACAGGUGCUGCAUGGCUGUCGU
rnacentral:rRNA from 1 species